rnacentral:rRNA from 1 species
AGUCGUAACAAGGUUUCCGUAGGUGAACCUGCGGAAGGAUCAUUAGUGAAUAUAGGAUGUCCAACUUAACUUGGAGUCCGAACUCUCACUUUCUAACCCUGUGCAUUUGUUUGGGAUAGUAGCCUCUCGGGGUGAACUCCUAUUCACUUAUAAACACAAAGUCUAUGAAUGUAUUUAAUUUAUAACAAAAUAAAACUUUCAACAACGGAUCUCUUGGCUCUCGCAUCGAUGAAGAACGCAGCGAAAUGCGAUAAGUAAUGUGAAUUGCAGAAUUCAGUGAAUCAUCGAAUCUUUGAACGCACCUUGCGCUCCAUGGUAUUCCGUGGAGCAUGCCUGUUUGAGUGUCAUGAAUACUUCAACCCUCCUCUUUUCUAGUGAAAGAGAAGGUGCUUGGUUUCUGAGCGUUUUGCUGGCCUCACGGUCGAGCUCGCUCGUAAUGCAUUAGCAUCCGCAAUCGAACUUCGGAUUGACUUGGCGUAAUAGACUAUUCGCUGAGGAAUUCUAAUCUUCGGAUUAGAGCCGGGUUAGGUUAAAGGAAGCUUCUAAUCCUAAUGUCUAUAUUUUAAGAUUAGAUCUCAAAUCAGGUAGGACUACCCGCUGAACUUAAGCAUAUCAAUAAAGUCG